AUUGAACGCUGGCGGCAGGCCUAACACAUGCAAGUCGAACGAGUGGCGGACGGGUGAGUAAUGUAUGGGAAACUGCCUGAUGGAGGGGGAUAACUACUGGAAACGGUAGCUAAUACCGCAUACCAUCAGAUGUGCCACGAUGGGAUUAGCUAGGUGGUGGGGUAACGGCUCACCAAGGCGACGAUCUCUAGCUGGUCUGAGAGGAUGAUCAGCAACCCUGGGACUGAGCCACGGCCCAGACUCCUACGGGAGCCAGCAGUGGGGAAUAUUGCACAAUGGGCGCAAGCCUGAUGCAGCCAUGCCGCGUGUAUGAAGAAGGCCUUCGGGUUUUAAAGUACUUUCAGCGGGGAGGCGUUACCCGCAGAAGAAGCACCGGCUAACUCCGUGCCAGCAGCCGCGGUAAUAC
rnacentral:rRNA from 1 species